UCAUGUUUUUGAACUUAAUGAAUGUUAAAGGGAUUGGUUGAUCUUGAGGCAUUGUGCAUUUGAGUGUAGGUUUGGAUCAUAACAGAGCAUGGCUAAAGUUUCUAAGUAGAAGUCGAUCACCUCGCAUCUUAGAACUGUUAGCCGGUACAUUGAUCUUAAUUGUCAUAUCUCAUGCUUUGGUUCUGAAUCCCCAACUUCAAACCUCUCCUUCCGCUGAUGUCUUCUUGUUUGCUUGAGGGCAAGCAAAGACUAAGUUUGGGGGAGUUGAUAUGUCUAUAAUUUGCAUGAUUUAGGCAUUCAUUCUUCACCACUUUGUCAAUGUUUCAUCCACAAAUCAUCUCAUUAGGAGUCGUUUUAGUUUUUUUUACAUACUUAGGACGAUUUUGCAUUAGGAUUGCAUGUGCAUGGCAUAUUUGGUUAUUUUCAGGUACUUUGGAUGCUUUUGGAGUUCAAACAGAGGAACAAUAGAACAUAAAGUCGGAAUGCCCAAUGACGCCUUCGGCAAAAGUACUCUAUCGCAGCCUCGAAGCCCUGCCAGGGCAAAUCACUCUAUCGCAACCCCAGAGAAGCAAGCAGCUCAGUUUCACUCAAUCGCGAAGCCGGAGGAAUCACCCCAUCAGAACCACUCGAUCACCACUCGACCACCAAGAAGCCUAUCUGCUCGUUCUGCACUCAACCAGACAAGCUGAGAAUAAAGAAGAGAAGAGAAGCCGAAGAAACCACUCGAUCACCACCUCAUGACAUCCACUCGAUCGCACUCGAUCACAGGGUCGCUGGACCAUUCAAUCUCGACUUCACUGCAUCUCACUCGAUCGCAAGACGUAGCCCUUGAAGCCCAGUUUGAUCAAUGACAUACUCGAUCACUAGGAAGCUCAUUUCAGCCUGUUAGAUGCCAAUGACACAUUUGGUCGCAGGAUCAUGACGUGAAGAUUCGCUAUAUAUUUAGUUUCCUUAUUUGUUUCAUUUCUCGCUUAUAUAAACUGCCUCUUAGGGUUUUCCAUUGGGCAUCCGUUAUUAUCUCGCUUUUUUACAUUUUCGCAACUUUGCCGUAGUGUUUCUCCUGCGACUUUGUAUUUUCACUUUCAAGUAUUUGAUAUUCAGUUUUCGUUUAAGUCUUUCGUCAUUUCUGUUAUCAUGUUUUCAAUCGUUGCUUUGCUAUUGCCUUUGAUUAUGUGUGAGUAGUGAACUGUAUUUCUGAGGAUGGGAUAGAAUAGUUGUGGUUUACUUGGUCGUUUUAGGUGGUUGAGUUUAGAAUACUAGAAUCCCUUCUGGAUUAGGUGCGUUUAUUGCUUGUUUCGCUGGCUAAUGUGGAAUAUGAGUCCAGACGUCCAGCGCUCAGAAGGCGUUUUAUGGGCGUUGGAUCCUAUUAAUUCCAGAGAUAUCUGACUCUACCCCAAGGGAUUUGCUGUAGAGAGGGUAUUGGCUUUAACAUGUUGAUUCGAUAAUGCCUGCUUAGUUAGAGAUCGCUAAAGGGAUUUAGGUCAGUAUCUAGCUUUGCUUUAGGAUUUCUAUCACGGGAGUGAAUUAAUCUGUUGUUGAACUUGUUGUCUAGGGAUAGCUUCUGUGAAGUUUUGUCAACCGCCUAAAUAGAUUAAGGAGACCACACUAUUCGAUUACCCCAUCCUUAGGAAUCAUUUAUCCAUUUGAUUGCCUGUUAUCAUUUCUGCUUUGUUAUUCACUUGCCUGCUAUUGCCAUUUCUGCUUUUAGUUUCAUUUCAUUUCUGUUAUUGCAUACUAGGACUGUUAGAACCAAUCAACUUUCUGCUUGGCUUGACUUAGAGCUUUCUGAUCAUAUCUCAUCUGUUUGCAUCACACCGGAUUGGAUUGACAUCCUAAAAUACUACAACGACAAGAUAGUGUUUUAGGGAUUAAUUGAGUAAAAUCCUACUAUCAGACACUCUAGGCAGUGCCAACCGCCAACUCGCCGGAGACUCAAC
rnacentral:sRNA from 1 species